GAUUUCACCUAAAAAAUUCAUCAACAACAAAGUUGUGAAACUCAUCAAUAUCUAUAACUUUUAUUUUGGUCAUUUCUUCAUCCGACAAAGUGAUAGUAACAUUGUUCACAAAAUUUACACAUCUCUCUUAUAAUUUAAAAAACCAUGUAAGAGAUAUGCAAAUUUUGUGAACAAUGUUUCUAUCACUUUGUUGGAUAAAGAAAUGACCAAGUUAUAGAUAUUGAUGAGUUAUACAACUUUGUUGUUGAUGACUUUUUCAGUUGAAAUC
rnacentral:pre_miRNA from 1 species